rnacentral:lncRNA from 1 species
AAUUAAGAUUUAAAUAUAGCAUCACCGAUUUUGAUCGUAGUUAUCUGAGGUUCCAAGUUUGAAGUUUAGUUUCUUCAUAUUUUUAGCCGAAUUCACUUAAAAUGUAUAGACAUAAUGCUUAUGGGUCUCGAUUGUGACUCGGCCUAACCAGCAGUCUCAUGCAGCUUCGAACAUGAUUUAACUCAACCCAACCUAUCGUCAUUUUGAAUGUAAUUCAGCACAACUUGACCUCUCACUAUAGGGCAGGAUGCUGGCUCUUUUAUGCCUAAAGAAAAAUAGUGUAAGGAAAAUAUACGAGUCGGUUGUAAGUAAAAUUAUUUAAGCGCAUGUGAACAAAAAAUUAAGAAAAAAAAUUAUUAUAAUAAUGUAAAUACAUUUUUUAAA